AGGGGACUCCGGGAGGAGGAACAUGGCGGUGGCGGACCUCGCUCUCAUUCCUGAUGUGGACAUCGACUCCGACGGCGUCUUCAAGUAUGUGCUGAUCCGAGUCCACUCGGCUCCCCGCUCCGGGGCUCCGGCUGCAGAGAGCAAGGAGAUCGUGCGCGGCUACAAGUGGGCUGAGUACCAUGCGGACAUCUACGACAAAGUGUCGGGCGACAUGCAGAAGCAAGGCUGCGACUGUGAGUGUCUGGGCGGCGGGCGCAUCUCCCACCAGAGUCAGGACAAGAAGAUUCACGUGUACGGCUAUUCCAUGGUGAGCCGCAGCCCCGUCCCGCCCUGCCGGAGGCCCCAGUACCAGCUUCGAGGCCCACCUGAGCCUGCUGCCCUGACCCGUGGCCCCAGCUGAGCACGCAGGCUUCCUGGGGUUCUCCCAGGGUCGGCGGCAGAGCCCUCCCUCCAGGGCCCAUUGUGUUCCUGCAUUCCCCCAUGGAGCACACGCCAGACCUGAGGGGUGGGACGGACACCCCCAGACAUGGCCGGCUGUCUCCUCUCCCUGCCUUGGGAGGCCUUGCUGGGCUCUAGCUGUCCUCCAGCACUUUGGGCCCUGGGCCCCCAGAGGCAGUCAGUACCUGGGUGGAGCUCAGAGUCCCCACCUGUGCUCUUCACAAAAACCACCAGCAGAUGAGACCCACGUGCGUCCCUCUGGGCGCCUCAGGCCCCAGGAUCCACCAUCAAGGCCUAUGGUCCUGCCCAGCACGCCAUUUCAACUGAGAAAAUCAAAGCCAAGUACCCCGACUACGAGGUCACCUGGGCUAACGACGGCUACUGAGCACUCCCAGCCCGGGGCCUGCUGCCUCCAGCAGCCACUUCAGAGCCCCCGCCUUUGCCUGCACUCCUCUUGCAGGGCUGGCCCUGCCUGCUCCUGCGGCAGCCUCUGGUGACGUGCUGUCCACCAGGCCUUGGAGACAGGCUAGCCUGGCCACAGAAUUAAACGUGUUGCCACACC